CGCUAUCACUCCUACGGGGAGGCAGCAGUGGGGGAAUAUUGCACAAUGGGCGCAAGCCUGAUGCAGCCAUGCCGCGUGUAUGAAGAAGGCCUUCGGGUUGUAAAGUACUUUCAGCAGUGAGGAAGGUGGGUAUGUUAAUAGCAUACUCAUUUGACGUUAGCUGCAGAAGAAGCACCGGCUAACUCCGUGCCAGCAGCCGCGGUAAUACGGAGGGUGCGAGCGUUAAUCGGAAUUACUGGGCGUAAAGCGCAUGCAGGUGGUUUGUUAAGUCAGAUGUGAAAGACCCGGGGCUCAACCUCGGAAUUGCAUUUGAAACUGGCAAACUAGAGUACUGUAGAGGGGGGUAGGAAUUUCAGGUGUAGCGGUGAAAUGCGUAGAGAUCUGAAGGAAUACCGGUGGCGAAGGCGGCCCCCUGGACAGAUACUGACACUCAGAUGCGAAAGCGUGGGGAGCAAACAGGAUUAGAUACCCUGGUAG
rnacentral:rRNA from 1 species